rnacentral:rRNA from 2 species
GGCACGUGGCGCGUGCCUAUACAUGCAGUCGAACGAACUCUGGUAUUGAUUGGUGCUUGCAUCAUGAUUUACAUUUGAGUGAGUGGCGAACUGGUGAGUAACACGUGGGAAACCUGCCCAGAAGCGGGGGAUAACACCUGGAAACAGAUGCUAAUACCGCAUAACAACUUGGACCGCAUGGUCCGAGUUUGAAAGAUGGCUUCGGCUAUCACUUUUGGAUGGUCCCGCGGCGUAUUAGCUAGAUGGUGAGGUAACGGCUCACCAUGGCAAUGAUACGUAGCCGACCUGAGAGGGUAAUCGGCCACAUUGGGACUGAGACACGGCCCAAACUCCUACGGGAGGCAGCAGUAGGGAAUCUUCCACAAUGGACGAAAGUCUGAUGGAGCAACGCCGCGUGAGUGAAGAAGGGUUUCGGCUCGUAAAACUCUGUUGUUAAAGAAGAACAUAUCUGAGAGUAACUGUUCAGGUAUUGACGGUAUUUAACCAGAAAGCCACGGCUAACUACGUGCCAGCAGCCGCGGUAAUACGUAGGUGGCAAGCGUUGUCCGGAUUUAUUGGGCGUAAAGCGAGCGCAGGCGGUUUUUUAAGUCUGAUGUGAAAGCCUUCGGCUCAACCGAAGAAGUGCAUCGGAAACUGGGAAACUUGAGUGCAGAAGAGGACAGUGGAACUCCAUGUGUAGCGGUGAAAUGCGUAGAUAUAUGGAAGAACACCAGUGGCGAAGGCGGCUGUCUGGUCUGUAACUGACGCUGAGGCUCGAAAGUAUGGGUAGCAAACAGGAUUAGAUACCCUGGUAGUCCAUACCGUAAACGAUGAAUGCUAAGUGUUGGGAGGGUUUCCGCCCUUCAGUGCUGCAGCUAACGCAUUAAGCAUUCCGCCUGGGGGAGUACGGCCGCAAGGCUGAAACUCAAAGGAAUUGACGGGGGCCGCACAAGCGGUGGAGCAUGGUGGUUUAAUUCGAAGCUACGCGAAGAACCUUACCAGGUCUUGACAUACUAUGCAAAUCUAAGAAGAUUAGACGUUCCCUUCGGGGAAUGGAUACAGGGGGGGGAG